rnacentral:rRNA from 1 species
GAUGAACGCUGACAGAAUGCUUAACACAUGCAAGUCAACUUGAACUUCGGUUUGGGUGGCGGACGGGUGAGUAACGCGUAAAGAACUUGCCUCACAGCUAGGGACAACAUUUGGAAACGAAUGCUAAUACCUGAUAUUAUGAUUAUAUGGCAUCGUAUAAUUAUGAAAGCUAUCUGCGCUGUGAGAGAGCUUUGCGUGCCAUUAGCUAGUUGGAGAGGUAACAGCUCACCAAGGCGAGGAUGGGUAGCCGGCCUGAGAGGGUGAUCGGCCACAAGGGGACAGGGACACGGCCCUUACGCAUACGGGAGGCAGGAGUGAGGAAUAGUGGACACUAGACCGAGAGUCUGAUGCAGCUAUUCUGUGUGUACGAUGAAGUUUUUCGGAAUGUAAAGUGCUUUAAGUUGGGAAGAAAAAAAUGACGGUACCAACAGAAGAAGUGACGGCUAAAUACGUG